UCCUCCGACUUCCCUAGAGCCUCCGGUAUCACAGCCGAGACAGCGACGGGUUCUCCACCCAUACGGGGAUGGAGCGACAGAAGUAUGGAAAUAGGAU
rnacentral:rRNA from 1 species